GACGAACGCUGGCGGCGUGCUUAACACAUGCAAGUCGAACGGUGAAGCGCCUUCCUUUUUGGUGGGUGUGGAUGAGUGGCGAACGGGUGAGUAACACGUGAGUAACCUGCCCCCUUCUUCUGGAUAACCGCAUGAAAGUGUGGCUAAUACGGGAUAUUCUGGGUCUGUCGCAUGAUGGGUCUGGGAAAGAUAUUGUUUCGGUGGGGGAUGGGCUCGCGGCCUAUCAGCUUGUUGGUGGGGUGAUGGCCUACCAAGGCGGUGGCGGGUAGCCGGCCUGAGGGGGUGGCCGGCCACACUGGGACUCGGCCACGGUGCGGACUCCUACGGGAGGCAGCAGCGGGGAGUAUUGCACAGUGGGAGCAAGGCUGAAGCAGCGGCGCCGCGUGAGGGAUGGAGGCCUUCGGGGUGUGAAGCUCUUUGGCUAGUGAAGCAGGCCUGCCUCGUUUGUGGGUGGGUUGACGGUAGUUGGUAAAGAAGCGCCGGCUAACUACGUG
rnacentral:rRNA from 1 species